rnacentral:rRNA from 1 species
GACGAACGCUGGCGGCGUGCUUAACACAUGCAAGUCGAACGGAAAGGCCCUGCUUUUGUGGGGUGCUCGAGUGGCGAACGGGUGAGUAACACGUGAGUAACCUGCCCUUGACUUUGGGAUAACUUCAGGAAACUGGGGCUAAUACCGGAUAGGAGCUCCUGCUGCAUGGUGGGGGUUGGAAAGUUUCGGCGGUUGGGUAUGGACUCGCGGCUUAUCAGCUUGUUGGUGGGGUAGUGGCUUACCAAGGGUUUGACGGGUAGCCGGCCUGAGAGGGUGACCGGCCAAAUUGGGACUGAGAUACGGCCCAGACUCCUACGGGAGGCAGCAGUGGGGAAUAUUGCACAAUGGGCGGAAGCCUGAUGCAGCAACGCCGCGUGCGGGAUGACGGCCUUCGGGUUGUAAACCGCUUUCGACUGUGACGAAGCGUGAGUGACGGUAAUGGGUAAAGAAGCACCGGCUAACUACGUG